CACGGCUGUGCUGCCAUUGGCUGCUGUUUGUUUUCAUCCAAACGGGCGGUGCAUCACGAUUAACGGUGCGCCUGCAACAUGGAAACAGACGUGGAGUUUCUGCGUGAUCAAGUCUGCAGGCUAAAUUCGGCUCUCAGCCAGUAUCAGCGUGGGGAUCAUGCGCACGUCAAACCAUCCCAGGUUGACGGGGGAAAUGAGACUGAGUUUGCUGCUCCCUGGCUCUCAGAUAAGAGUAUCAUGGCUCCACUGAUAGCUCAGUAUGACCGGCACAUUGAUGACAUGUCGGAGCAGCUGCGUAAGUACCAGGUGUCCAUGACAGAUGUCAAAGCCAAGAUGGAGAGCGUUAUCCAAGAGAAUGAAAGGCUACAUGCAGAACUGAGGGAAUCCGUGGAGAAGCAGCUUCAGUCACCCUCCAAGACCUCCGGAGUGAAGUUUGGCACAGUAGAGGAUGAAGCGGUCAUUAAAAACCUCCAAGAACAAGUCAAACUGUCUGAGCAGGAGCGAAUACAGGCCAUGGAGUUGUGGCAGACAGCAGCACUGGAGCUUGAUCACCUCCAGGAGUUCUAUCAGAAGACCCUCGCUGAUGGACAGAGUGCUGGCGCCAAGGAACAGCAGCUCAAGGAUCAGAUCGUGCAGAGCCACCAGCACUCACACAAACUCCAAGUGGCCAAUCAGGAACUACAGAUGACCAACGAGCAGCUUGUAAAGACUGUGACGGAGCAGAGUACAGAGAUGGAGGGGCUGCACGGCCAGCUCAGAUUGAGCAAAGCCGAUCUGAGAACAGCCACAGGCAAAGUGGAAGAGUUGGCCAAACAGCUGCAACUUGUUCAGCACCAGAUAAAGAGACAGGAGGAAGAUGUGGCUGAGGCUCGGAGCCGAGAGGAAGCAGCAGAGAGACGAAUCCAACAGCUUCAGUCAACCCUCAGCCAGCAAGAAGCAAAGCUCAGAACAACGUCUCAGGAGGCAGUAGACGUUCGAGGAGAGCAAAUUGUGUUGGAGAAAACAGCAGGGGCCCUGAAGGCCCGAUGCGCUACCUUGGAACAGGAGAAAUACGAGGCUUUUGAUAAAGUCAGAGAGAGCGUUCAGGUGGCUGAGGAGGCGGUACUGCAGAAGAAUGAGGCACUGUUGAGAGAGAAGCAAAUGAUCGAGGAGCUUGAGCACACGAAGAAAGUAAUCCAACACCUAAUCCAGGAUGCUGCUGUGCGCACCAGAAAAGAGGUGGAUAGUGUACGCAAGCAGUGCAACACUGAACUCCGUCGAAUGGCUGAGGAGCUGUCGUUGUUGCAGCUGGAGUGUGCAGAAAAGGAGUCUCUGAUUGAGAGGUCUAAGCGAGAGAGAAAAUCUCUAGAGGAGGAACUAUCCAAGGCGCUGAAGGAGGGCCAGGCAGAACCAGAGCUUGGGAAAAUGGAUGCCCUUCACCAGAGGUGUCUCAACGCAGAGAGGAUGAAGGAGGAAAUGAGCAUCACUUUACAAAGUACCCAAAGCAAACUAAAGAAGAUGGAAAUUGAUUACAAUGAGGAGUUGUCCCGCAGCCAGGAGGGAGUGCAGCGGCUGCAGGGUUGUUUGGCUGCAGCCCGGGAGGACUGUGUCAGAAUCAGCGACGAGCGACUCCAGUUGCAACAGGAGAACUUGCAGAUCCGCAGGGAGGUGGAUGAGCUACGCAAGGCUUCCGUGCUCGUUCACAAGAAGGCCAAACAACAGGUAUCGCAAAUGGAGCAAGAGUGCAGCCUAAAGGAGAAGACACUGAAAGCACAGUUGAGCGACCUGGAGGAGAGCAGUCGCAACUCCAACGCUGACCUGAUGCGCCUUCUCACAGCGCAGCAGAAAAGUAUUCGGCGCUGGAAAGACGAGGCAAAGAACAUGGCCCAGGCCUUUGAAAAUAAAAUCAAAGAUCUGAAGGCAGAACUGAGUCAGCACAAACAACGUUCCCACGAGUUAGAGCUGCAGCUGGGAAAUAAGCUGGACGCAGUUGCUGAGUAUGAGAGACUGUUAGCAGAGUACCAAGAGAAGGCCCAUCGCCUCCAAAGACAACUUAGCCAUGUUGAGCAACGUGCAUCUGUGGCUUCACGACAGGUACGAUAUGCUGACCUCAUGUAGACUGACCCUCGAGAUGUCUUCAAUACUCAGCUGCUAAUGAAUGAACUCGAGCCUAAAAUGACAGUCAUGGCAUCGAAGCAAAGAAAAGCAGCCGCUAGUGACCCAAAAACUGAUUAAUGUAUGAUUUAUCUUUUGCAUCAAAUGUGACUUUUUUUUUGAUUAGUCGGGCUGCUCUCAUCUAAUUUAAUGGCAACAGGUUGCAUUCUUGCGCAUUUUUUUGUGUCAAGUUGUGUUGAUUACUUUCUAAUGCGCAAGUUCCAAUGUUAGAUGAAAGUAGUAGAAUAAUUUAAAUGUACUUUCCACACUAGGUAUUUUAAUUAUUUAUAUAUAUAUAUAUAUUUCUUACACUGGCAAAUUCGAAUACAGUCUUUUUAUACAAUGCCAAUGUUGUAAUAAUAACAUUAAAAAGGAAAAUAAAAGUUAUUUUUGAUACGUGUCCCUG